rnacentral:misc_RNA from 1 species
UCCACCGUGAGGUGGAAUCUGAAGGAAGCCGGCGGCAAACCUCCGGUCUGAGGAACAUGAAUCUCAUAUAAGCCUAUGGAGUAACCCCUCCUACUCUAUUGGUUAGUGGUUGAUAUAACGUUCAAACACAUGUC